rnacentral:misc_RNA from 1 species
GAUGAAGAACGUAGUGAACGUGCGAAACGUAAUGUGAAUUGCAGAAUUCAGUGAAUCAUCGAAUCUUUGAACGCAUCUUGCGCUCCUUGGUAUUCCGAGGAGCAUGCCUGUUUGAGUGUCGUGAAUACUCUCAACUUCAACCCUUUUUUCGGAAAGGGAGGAAGGUUGGACUUGGGUGUUUGUUGAAGUGCGAGCUUCGACUCAUCCUAAAUGCAUUAGCGAUCUGCCUCGAUCACACACAAUGUGAUAAUUAAAACUAAAGCAUUGUUUAAUGAUCAAGUCGAGACUGCUUCUAACUGUCGCAAGACAAUAACGUGCAUACAUUUGUGCAUGUCAUUUGACCUCAAAUCAGGUAGGACUACCCGCUGAACUUAAGCAUAUCAAUAACGGAGGA